rnacentral:rRNA from 1 species
CCUACGGGUGGCUGCAGUGGGGAAUUUUGGACAAUGGGGGCAACCCUGAUCCAGCCAUGCCGCGUGCGGGAAGAAGGCCUUCGGGUUGUAAACCGCUUUUAGCCGGGAAGAAAGGCGAGGGAUAACACCCUUCGUUCUUGACGGUACCGGCGGAAUAAGCACCGGCUAACUACGUGCCAGCAGCCGCGGUAAUACGUAGGGUGCGUGCGUUAAUCGGAAUCGCUGGGCGUAAAGCCUGCGCAGGCGGUGUGAAAGCCCCGGGCUCAACCUGGGAAUGGCAUUGGUUACUGGCGGGCUUGAGUGUGGCAGAGGGGGGUGGAAUUCCGCGUGUAGCAGUGAAAUGCGUAGAGAUGCGGAGGAACACCGAUGGCGAAGGCAGCCCCCUGGGCUGACACUGACGCUCAGGCACGAAAGCGUGGGGAGCAAACAGGAUUAGAUACCCCGGUAGUC